GGUACUAAGGGUGUCUGUCAGGCCCCCUCCAAGCACCUUGGGACCCUUAUAUCAGUAACUUCUUAGCUUUUGUCUGAUUCCUAUCUCAUAAUCUAGAAACUGGAACUGUCAUAAUCCCACAGCCCUUUCCUCCCAUCAUAGUAACUUCCUCUUACAUCAUGGAAGAUAUAGUUCUGCUUCUCUCAGCAGAGCAGAAUCCAGGACCUCCCCAAAACAGACCUACAGGCAGAGCAGGCUCCAGGGUCCACCACGAUGCCCGUCCCUGCCUCUCGGCCCUGCCUGAGAGAAACAACAGAAACGAUUUCAUCCAUCCCUGCUGCUGCCUCUGGCUGCUGGGACUCACAGGGGAGUGUCCCCACCCUCAGGCUUGCUGUCAAAAUAAUCCAAACAGGGAAGAAACGUACAAGUAAACAAGAAAAGCCCCAUACUCAUCUGGCUCCCUGGAGACAGCUACUUUUUAGGAGUUUCAUUUGCCUUCUUCAAGAGAGCUUUCUUCCACUGACAUAAAAUGCCAGCUUGAUCGUACAGUAUAUCUGUCUAUUUACUUGGGUCCAGUUCUAGGUUCUCUCUUCUGUUUCAUCGACCUCUCUGCCUGCCUUGGUACCAACCUGCCUCUAGUAUUUAUUGCAGCCUGAAAAUGUGCUCUAACUUUCAUGUGCUGAAACUUGUAUACAUCUUUUGAAAAACUUUUCCAGCUAGUCUGUCAUGGAGGUUAGCAAUUUGUUUGUGGUUUAACUAUGCACUUCACGGGAUUACCGGGGUUGUUGAACAUCUUUUCUAGAUGUAUGUCUUCUCUUGUGACUUCCUGACUGUGUCCUUAGCAAGGGCUGUCUGUCUGUCUUGUCUCUAUGUUUCUCUUGAUACCCAGUUAAGAAACGUGACCAUCCUAAAAGCUAAUACAUGAUAUGGAAAGAAAGAAUUAAUGGGGCUUCAAAUGCAAUCUGAAUCCAGGCACCUGGACCGCGGCCUCAGCCCCAGCUGGAGCUUGGAGCCGACCUGUGUUCUUCUAGGAGUGGCAGGCGAGGAGGAGCUGCAGGGGAUUCAGCCUGAGAAGUCCGUGUCAGUCACAGCUGGAGACUGUGUCACAGUUGGAGACUGGUCAUUGCACUGUGACCUCCCUAUUGCCUGUAGGGCCCAUCCAGCGGUUCAGAGGAACUGGACCAGGCCAGGAAUUAAUCUACAGCCAAAAGGAAGGCAACUUUCCCUGGAUAAGAACUGUUUCAGACAUCACAAAGAGAAACAAGAUGAACUAUUCCAUCCAUAUCUGCAGCAUCAUGCCAGCAGAGCCGGCACCUACUACCGUGUGAAAUUCCAGAAAGGGAGCUUAACGUGGAGAUUAAGUCUGGACCAGGCACCCAGAUGUUUGUGCGUGGUACCCCUGUGUGCAACUCCCUCCUGCUCCUUGGCUGGAACUUUCUGCCAUCUAUGUCUUUAGGAGGAGACUUUCUUCCAGGUCACAGACUCUGCAAAGACAGUCCUCCACAGUGACAUAGGACCCUUAGUCCCUCCUGUCUUAUUCAGAAGGACUGGCCUCAGAGGAGGACCUGCCAUGAUGCCUGUAGCUGCUUCCCCAGUUUCUCUUGCCUCAUCAGCCUUCUGAGACCUGAACAGCACUGGCCAUCCCUCGCUAUCUCCUGCAGCCCCCAGAGGAAGGGAGCACCUAGAUUGGAAAGGUCAACAGUAAGAGGCAGAUUCUCAUGCCCUACCCAGGAAUGAAUUUUCUGUUGAAAGUCUGACCUCAGAGUCCAUGAUGCUGACCAAGAAACCCAGCAGAGGCAGGACAGGCUCCAACCCUGAGAAAAAUAGAUACCUGCAUUUCUCAUGGCUCCUUCCUGGCUCAUCAAGGAAAGCCCCUUGUGGGCACCCAAGCUCUGCCAUGAAACCUCUACAGCUCCAUCAUUAAAAUUGAGUUCAAUGAAACACUUAUGGCCAAUAAACAUGUGAAGAAAUGGCCAACCUCAUUAGUAAUCAGGAAAAGCUAUGGCAAAACCACACUGAGAUGUCAUCUUGUCCCUGUUCAAAUACCAAAAAUAAAGAAGUCACUGGAUCUUUUUUGCAUUA